GAUGAACGCUGGCGGCGUGCCUAACACAUGCAAGUCGUACGAGCUCGAUCUUCGGAACGGGUUAGUGGCGCACGGGUGAGUAACACGUAGGUGACCUACCCCAGAGUGGGGGAUAACUUCUCGAAAGAGAGGCUAAUACCGCAUACACUCGGCCAUUCAUUUGGCCGAGCAAAGCUCCGGCGCUUUGGGACGGGCCUGCGUCCGAUUAGCUAGUUGGUAGGGUAAUGGCUUACCAAGGCUUUGAUCGGUAGCUGGUCUGAGAGGACGAUCAGCCACACUGGCACUGACACACGGGCCAGACUCCUACGGGAGGCAGCAGUGAGGAAUAUUGGGCAAUGGGCGAAAGCCUGACCCAGCAACGCCGCGUGAGGGAUGAAGGCCUUCGGGUUGUAAACCUCUUUCUGGGAGAAGAGACAAGGACGGUAUCCCAGGAAUAAGUCUCGGCUAACUACGUGCCAGCAGCCGCGGUAAU
rnacentral:rRNA from 1 species